CUAAAACUCUGCUUUAAAUUCUGUAGCUACUAAUUACUCAACUUCAGUAGCCCUUUGUGCCUUUUCCCUCAAGGUCCAAACUGGAUGUUUCCAACCCUGAAAAAGUAAUCCUGGAACAGCUGGCCCUAUACUGAAAACAAACUCUGCUGACCUAAAGUGUGGUUAUCCCAAAAGAGACAAACUACCAAGCAGACACUGGAUAUUCACUCUAGAGCUGAAAAAGGAGAGAGUAUGUGCAGUAACUAUUUCAUGA
rnacentral:lncRNA from 1 species